rnacentral:rRNA from 1 species
CAGUAGCCACGGUAAUACGGAGGAUCCAAGCGUUAUCCGGAAUUAUUGGGUUUAAAGGGUCCGUAGGCGGUCUUGUAAGUCAGUGGUGAAAGCCCAUCGCUCAACGGUGGAACGGCCAUUGAUACUGCAGGACUUGAAUUAUUGGGAAGUAACUAGAAUAUGUAGUGUAGCGGUGAAAUGCUUAGAGAUUACAUGGAAUACCAAUUGCGAAGGCAGGUUACUACCAAUUGAUUGACGCUGAUGGACGAAAGCGUGGGUAGCGAACAGGAUUAGAUACCCCAGUAGUCCCUGUCUCUUAUAC